UACAGAGGGUGCAAGCGUUAAUCGGAAUUACUGGGCGUAAAGCGCGCGUAGGUGGUUUGUUAAGUUGAAUGUGAAAUCCCCGGGCUCAACCUGGGAACUGCAUGCAAAACUGGCAAGCUAGAGUAUGGUAGAGGGUGGUGGAAUUUCCUGUGUAGCGGUGAAAUGCGUAGAUAAUAGGAAGGAACACCAGUGGCGAAGGCGACCACCUGGACUGAUACUGACACUGGAGGUGCGAAAGCGUGGGGAGCAAACAGG
rnacentral:rRNA from 1 species